rnacentral:rRNA from 1 species
CCUACGGGUGGCAGCAGUGAGGAAUAUUGGUCAAUGGGCGGGAGCCUGAACCAGCCAAGUCGCGUGCAGGAUGACGGCUCUAUGGGUUGUAAACUGCUUUUAUAUAGGGAUAAAGUUAAGAACGUGUACCUUGUUGUAUGUACUGUAUGAAUAAGGAUCGGCUAACUCCGUGCCAGCAGCCGCGGUAAUACGGAGGAUCCAAGCGUUAUCCGGAUUUAUUGGGUUUAAAGGGUGCGUAGGUGGAUUGAUAAGUCAGCGGUGAAAGGUUGGUGCUGAACCCGAAAAUUGCCAUUGAUACUGGUUGUCUUGAGAGUAGAUGAGGUAGGCGGAAUGCGUGGUGUAGCGGUGAAAUGCUUAGAUAUCACGCAGAACUCCGAUUGCGAAGGCAGCUUACUAAUCUAUAACUGACAUUGAGGCACGAAAGCGUGGGGAUCAAACAGGAUUAGAUACCCGUGUAGUC